GAGCCAAAGCAACAGACUUCUGUUCUAGAGACCAAAACAUCCCUAACAGAUCACUCCUCCCAUGAUGCCUCCAACAAAGAUGCUGUUGUCACGCAGGAGCCAAAGCAGUUAUUUACCAUCAAAGGGUUUUCCCUAGUGAACUAUACCGAAAGUGAUGAGACGGAUGAGGAGUAUAUUAAAGACAACCCUCCCAGUCCACACUGUGAUGUUGUUCGAAAGAAGACGAGGAAUGGAAACAUUUCAGGUGGCUGGAGUAGCUGAUUUUUCUGAUCCUCUGUUUGACUCAUAUGAGAGUAUAGUAGAUGAAACUGAUGAGGAUUCUAGUCUGCAGUCAGACAAUGAAGUUGUUCCAAAAAAAUGUUUGAUGGAUAGAGUACCACAUUUUUCUGUUCCUCUUAAUGAGUCAAGUGAUGACAGCAUAGAUGAGCCUUCCACUUCUAUGUCUGGAAUGGCUUCACAAUGGCCGAGGAGAAACUGUCACCGUCCUAGACUGUUGACAUGGAUGGGUGUUCACAAGAGGAAGAUGACUUUAUUCCAGAAGUACAGGAGCCUGAAGUUGAGGACAGUGUGGCUUCCACACAGGAACCUACUUCCACACAGGAACCUACUUCCACGCUGCAUUCCCAAUACCAGAGAAAGUCAUCAAAAAAGAGAGGUAAAGAAACUCCUGCCAAAAGAAGCUGGACAACAGAUGAAUGUGCGGCAGUAG
rnacentral:lncRNA from 1 species